UACGUAGGGGGCAAGCGUUGUCCGGAAUCAUUGGGCGUAAAGCGCGUGUAGGCGGCCCGGUAAGUCCGCUGUGAAAGUCCAGGGCUCAACCCUGGGAUGCCGGUGGAUACUGUCGGGCUCGAGUACGGAAGAGGCGAGUGGAAUUCCUGGUGUAGCGGUGAAAUGCGCAGAUAUCAGGAGGAACACCUAUUGCGAAGGCAGCUCGCUGGGACGUUACUGACGCUGAGACGCGAAAGCGUGGGGAGCAAACAGG
rnacentral:rRNA from 1 species